AUGUAUAGACAUUUUACAAUAUUUUAAUAAUUUAUAUAAAUUGAUAAUUCUGAAAAAAGAGUCGAAGUUCUGGCUUCAUUUUAGUAGUUAUACAGGCAUUAUAGGGAACGGCCCCCUCCAGAUUAUACUCUAUAAUCGUAUAUAAUCUAUAAACCUUGCCUCUAUAUUACUCUAAUACCCUAUGAUCUGUGAUCUGUGGUGAUAUCUCGCUGUUAUUAUUGUUUGGGGUGUUGUUAGACUCACAUUGGCUGAAGGAAAAGUGCAGUGAAGAUUUUCAGAACUUUACCUUUUAUAGUUAAUUCACUACAAAGCUUCAAAAAAAAUUAAAACACAUUUUAUUGGGCGUUUUUUUUAUGUUUUUCAGCUUAAUAGCUUUGUAGUGAGUUAAAAAUUGAAGAUAAAGUUCCUUCUGAAAAUCUUCACAGCACUUCUCCUAGCCAAUGUGAAUCUAAUAAGACCCCAAAUACAAAAUCCGUUCUCCAGUUUCAGUAAUCUACCAUGCUAAAUUAAAAUCUAGCAAAAAAUAACUAUUUUUUUAACUGUGAAAAUUUUUUUUUUUUUUUUAUUAAAAAUAAGUAUAUUUACAAUCUAUACAUAAGUGUAUAAUGAGUAAGUGUGGUGACAGAGUAAAUAAGUAACAUAUAAAAAUAACAAGAGAAGGAAGGCUCCCAGCAGUGCCACCUGACCAGAAAUUAACUGUGAAAAAUUAAAUAAUUUUUUUUUAAAUUUUGAAUCUCACAUUUUGUAUCUACUAGGAAAUUUUAAUGAGCUAUCAGCCAACAGUUUAGGUAUAAUAGUUUUGGAGAGAAGUUAAAAAAUAAAAAUUUUGGGACUAUUCACGCCAACGUUUUUGUGGAUUCAAAUCGUUAUACCACUUGGGUGUGGUAUCGAAUCUCUCUCAUUAAUAUUUUAUAUUUGUUAAAGCUAGCUUAAUUAUCUCCCUACUCAUUACAACUGAGUUACAUUUUUAUCAUUUUCCAAUUUAACACAACUUCUUGAAGUUUUAAAAAUUCUGAAUUUUUUCAUUUCAAUUACCAUACUAAUUACUUGAUUAAAAAUCAAGAAAGUAAAAAUGUUGCAGCUAAUUAUAAUUAUAAUAAUUAUAUUGAAUUUCUACAAUUUACAUAGGAUAAUACAUAAUAAGCAAAUAUUUCCUGGAUUUCGGGAGGGGCAGGGGCUAAAGCUCCCUCAGCGCCAUAGGCGGAUAUUGGGGCAUUUGCAAAAAAAUUUAAUCUGAAAACCAAUUAUUCAAGUCAUAUAAUUCAAGAUGAAUUUACAAAUAUAUCUGCAGAUAUUGUGAAAGUUAUUGAAGAUGUUGAGAUAUUUGGAAUUAUGUGUGAUGAAGCAAGGUGUUACAAACAAGAACAAAUGGCAUUAUGUGUAAGGAAACGAGGAAUGUGUUCAACACUUUAGAAUACCUAUACAUACAUUUUCAAAUCCGUCAAAAAAUCAAAAUUUAAUUGAGAUUCAAACCAAUCUAGGGAUAAAAAAUAUGUCAUUGAUUAGACUCGGUGAUACUAGAUGGAACUGCCGCUAUCGUAAUAUAGAGUAUGCUAAAGCAAGUUAUAAAGCAAUUAUUCAAGCUUUAGAAGAAGAAACCAAUAAUGAAGAUGAUAGAGGAGUAAAUGAAGCAAUUGGAAUAUUAGCAAAUUUAAAAAGUGGACGAUUUAUAAUUUAUUUAUUUAUCUUACAUAAAGUAUUAAUUAAUAUUAAUAUUGUUGCCAUCAAAUUUCAAGAAAAAACUGCAACCUUAGGGCAAUCUAAAAAUAUUAUUCAAGGUGUGAUGAUGACUUUUAAAAAUUUAAGAACAGAAUAUUUUUCUCAGCUUUGGUGUGAAAUAGAAACCUUUGCUUAAGACAAUGACAUAUCAGUACCAAACACCAUCUAAAGGAUGUAUAAGAAAAAGACAGAGAUGACAAUUUUUAAACAUUUUUAUGUCACUGCAACCACAAGUGCUGAACAUAGUAUCGAUGAAACUAAUGAAACCAUUGAAGGUUAUUUUUAAAAAAAUGCAUUCUUUCCUGUAUUUGAUGCUAUCUUGAUAAACCUGGAAAAAAGGUUUUCUCCUGAAAGCCUCCAAAUGGCUACAGCUGUUGAUCAAUUUUGUCAACUUAAGUUUGAGGAAAGUAUUUUUUUUGUAGAUCAUUAUAAAAUAAGUAUUGAUUUAUCAUUUAUAAAAUUAAUUUCUACCUACUUACACUCUAGUUAUCUAUUUUUAAAAGUAAUCCUGUAUUUUAUAUAUUUUUCAGGAUUUGAUGUGUGUAUCUAAAGAUGUAUUGAAGUCAGAAAUGGCAGUGGUAAAGAAUUGUUUAAUGCAAUCUACUGACAAAGAAUAUAUAACUUUAAAUGAUAUAAAAAAGAUUUUAACAAAAAAUGUUUUUCCUAAUUUAUAUAAAUUAUUUCAAAUUGCUAUGACAAUACCAAUAAGUUCCUCAACUUGUGAGAGGAGUUUUUCGGCAAUGUCCAUAUGUAAUAGAUAUGGUAUUAUCACAGUAUUAUAGUAGAAAAUAAUAGGUAACAGAUAAUAUGCUGUCAUCCCUAAGUACAAUACAUAUACUAUAAACUUUUCUAUGCAUUCUCUACAAAACAAACAGUAGACAUUUCUUACACCCUUGAACUGCAUAUGCAAUAUGCAUAGUAAAAAUAUGAAAAUGUAUACAAAUCUGGACUAGUUAUUAGUUAUUAGUUUAUUACUAAUAAGUUUAACUGAUAUAACUUUUAACCAAAAUAAUCGAACAUUGUUUAUAUUUAUUAGUGUUAUAAAUAUAAAUAUUGUUUUUUUAAAUGUUUAUUAUCAUCUCAUCUCAUUGAUAGCUGUUUUAGUGUGCAUUACUACAGUUUUAAACCAAUUAACAUUAUACUAUAAUAUAAACAUUUCUAAUUACAUGAUACAUAGGUACAGUGCCGUAACUAGAGGUUGGCGACAUGGGCGCAGUAAAGUAAGGGGCGCAUUUGAGAAUAAAAUUUUUUUUUUUUAUAAAUUAUUUAAAGCCAAGCGUAAAUAUGUAAUCCACAAAAAUUACAUAGGUACUGGAUUGCGCCUUGAUGAUGUUUGUUUAUUAGUGUUUACUACUUAAACAUUUAUAUUAUAUAUUGAUAUAUAUAUAUAAUACAUUUUAUUUUUGCGUGUAUAAAACAUAUAGUCAUAUCGGCACUAAUGACGAACGGCUAUAAUAAUUAUUACCACAAACGACCGCGGCUUUCCCGACUAUUUAAGAUAUGAUGAAUAUGAUCAACGUGAUACAUUCUAAUUCUUUAAAAGAUAUAUAUCCAAACAUAGAAAUAGCCCUAAGAAUUUUUCUUACUCUUCCAGUGACUGUGGCUUCUUGCGAACGAAGUUUUAGCAAAUUAAAAAUUAUAAAAAACUAUCUACGCUCAACGUUAGGACAGGAACAGCUUAUAAAUUUGGGAAUAUCAUCAAUUGAAUUUGAAACAAGCAAUUCAAUCAGCUGUAAUGAUAUAAACGAUUUCGCAGCAAAAAAGGCUAGAAAGCUAAAAUUGUAAUAUUAAUUACAAUGGUUUAUUGUGAUACCGGUCCUAUUUUAAUUAAAUAUUAAAAAAAUAUGGCAGUAUUUUGAUUAACACAUAACUAAAGAAUGUAAUAUUAUUACAUUUAU